UUGCCAGCCCGCUCAGAACUUAAAUGAAUUGACGGGGCCGCACAAGCGGUGGAGCAUGUGGUUUAAUUCGAUGAUACGCGAGGAACCUUACCUGGGCUCAAAUGUAUGUUGACGUAUUCUGAAAGGGAUACUUCUUCGGACAAUAUACAAGGUGCUGCAUGGUUGUCGUCAGCUCGUGCCGUGAGGUGUCGGGUUAAGUCCCAUAACGAGCGCAACCCCUAUCAUUAGUUGCCAUCAGGUCAAGCUGGGGACUCUAAUGAAACUGCCUACGCAAGUAGUGAGGAAGGUGGGGAUGACGUCAAAUCAGCACGGCCCUUACGUCCAGGGCUACACACGUGCUACAAUGGCCGGUACAAAGGGCAGCUACCUGGUGACAGGAUGCUAAUCUCAAAAGCCGGUCUCAGUUCGGAUCGGAGUCUGCAACCCGACUCCGUGAAGCUGGAUUCGCUAGUAAUCGCGCAUCAGCCACGGCGCGGUGAAUACGUUCCCGGGCCUU
rnacentral:rRNA from 1 species